rnacentral:rRNA from 1 species
CAGUAGCCACGGUAAUACGUAGGGUGCGAGCGUUGUCCGGAAUUACUGGGCGUAAAGAGCUCGUAGGCGGUUUGUCGCGUCGUCUGUGAAAUUCUGCAGCUUAACUGUAGGCGUGCAGGCGAUACGGGCAGACUUGAGUACUACAGGGGAGACUGGAAUUCCUGGUGUAGCGGUGAAAUGCGCAGAUAUCAGGAGGAACACCGGUGGCGAAGGCGGGUCUCUGGGUAGUAACUGACGCUGAGGAGCGAAAGCGUGGGUAGCGAACAGGAUUAGAUACCCCGGUAGUCCCUGUCUCUUAUAC